rnacentral:rRNA from 1 species
UUUAUUGGAGAGUUUGAUCCUGGCUCAGGAUGAACGCUGGCGGCGUGCCUAAUACAUGCAAGUCGAGCGAAUGGAUUGAGAGCUUGCUCUCAAGAAGUUAGCGGCGGACGGGUGAGUAACACGUGGGUAACCUGCCCAUAAGACUGGGAUAACUCCGGGAAACCGGGGCUAAUACCGGAUAACAUUUUGAACUGCAUGGUUCGAAAUUGAAAGGCGGCUUCGGCUGUCACUUAUGGAUGGACCCGCGUCGCAUUAGCUAGUUGGUGAGGUAACGGCUCACCAAGGCAACGAUGC